rnacentral:rRNA from 1 species
GGGGGGACCAUCCUCCAAGGCUAAAUACUCCUGACUGACCGAUAGUGAACCAGUACCGUGAGGGAAAGGCGAAAAGAACCCCGGCGAGGGGAGUGAAAAAGAACCUGAAACCGUGUACGUACAAGCAGUGGGAGCACCUUCGGGUGUGACUGCGUACCUUUUGUAUAAUGGGUCAGCGACUUAUAUUCUGUAGCAAGGUUAACCGUAUAGGGGAGCCGCAGGGAAACCGAGUCUUAACUGGGCGUUAAGUUGCAGGGUAUAGACCCGAAACCCGGUGAUCUAGCCAUGGGCAGGUUGAAGGUUGGGUAACACUAACUGGAGGACCGAACCGACUAAUGUUGAAAAAUUAGCGGAUGACUUGUGGCUGGGGGUGAAAGGCCAAUCAAACCGGGAGAUAGCUGGUUCUCCCCGAAAGCUAUUUAGGUAGCGCCUCGUGAACUCAUCUUCGGGGGUAGAGCACUGUUUCGGCUAGGGGGUCAUCCCGACUUACCAACCCGAUGCAAACUACGAAUACCGAAGAAUGUUAUCACGGGAGACACACGGCGGGUGCUAACGUCCGUCGUGAAGAGGGAAACAACCCAGACCGCCAGCUAAGGUCCCAAAGUCAUGGUUAAGUGGGAAACGAUGUGGGAAGGCACAGACAGCCAGGAUGUUGGCUUAGAAGCAGCCAUCAUUUAAAGAAAGCGUAAUAGCUCACUGGUCGAGUCGGCCUGCGCGGAAGAUGUAACGGGGCUAAACCAUGCACCGAAGCUGCGGCAGCGACACUAUGUGUUGUUGGGUAGGGGAGCGUUCUGUAAGCCUGCGAAGGUGUGCUGUGAGGCAUGCUGGAGGUAUCAGAAGUGCGAAUGCUGACAUAAGUAACGAUAAAGCGGGUGAAAAGCCCGCUCGCCGGAAGACCAAGGGUUCCUGUCCAACGUUAAUCGGGGCAGGGUGAGUCGACCCCUAAGGCGAGGCCGAAAGGCGUAGUCGAUGGGAAACAGGUUAAUAUUCCUGUACUUGGUGUUACUGCGAAGGGGGGACGGAGAAGGCUAUGUUAGCCGGGCGACGGUUGUCCCGGUUUAAGCAUGUAGGCUGGUUAUCCAGGCAAAUCCGGAUAAUCAAGGCUGAGGUGUGAUGACGAGGCACUACGGUGCUGAAGUAACAAAUGCCCUGCUUCCAGGAAAAGCCUCUAAGCAUCAGGUAACAUCAAAUCGUACCCCAAACCGACACAGGUGGUCAGGUAGAGAAUACCAAGGCGCUUGAGAGAACUCGGGUGAAGGAACUAGGCAAAAUGGUGCCGUAACUUCGGGAGAAGGCACGCUGGUGUGUAGGUGAAGUCCCUGCGGAUGGAGCUGAGACCAGUCGAAGAUACCAGCUGGCUGCAACUGUUUAUUAAAAACACAGCACUGUGCAAACACGAAAGUGGACGUAUACGGUGUGACGCCUGCCCGGUGCCGGAAGGUUAAUUGAUGGGGUUAUCCGUAAGGAGAAGCUCUUGAUCGAAGCCCCGGUAAACGGCGGCCGUAACUAUAACGGUCCUAAGGUAGCGAAAUUCCUUGUCGGGUAAGUUCCGACCUGCACGAAUGGCGUAAUGAUGGCCAGGCUGUCUCCACCCGAGACUCAGUGAAAUUGAACUCGCUGUGAAGAUGCAGUGUACCCGCGGCAAGACGGAAAGACCCCGUGAACCUUUACUAUAGCUUGACACUGAACAUUGAGCCUUGAUGUGUAGGAUAGGUGGGAGGCUUUGAAGCGUGGACGCCAGUCUGCGUGGAGCCAACCUUGAAAUACCACCCUUUAAUGUUUGAUGUUCUAACGUUGGCCCCUGACCGGGGUUGCGGACAGUGUCUGGUGGGUAGUUUGACUGGGGCGGUCUCCUCCCAAAGCGUAACGGAGGAGCACGAAGGUUAGCUAAUCCUGGUCGGACAUCAGGAGGUUAGUGCAAUGGCAUAAGCUAGCUUGACUGCGAGCGUGACGGCGCGAGCAGGUGCGAAAGCAGGUCAUAGUGAUCCGGUGGUUCUGAAUGGAAGGGCCAUCGCUCAACGGAUAAAAGGUACUCCGGGGAUAACAGGCUGAUACCGCCCAAGAGUUCAUAUCGACGGCGGUGUUUGGCACCUCGAUGUCGGCUCAUCACAUCCUGGGGCUGAAGUAGGUCCCAAGGGUAUGGCUGUUCGCCAUUUAAAGUGGUACGCGAGCUGGGUUUAGAACGUCGUGAGACAGUUCGGUCCCUAUCUGCCGUGGGCGCUGGAGAAUUGAGGGGGGCUGCUCCUAGUACGAGAGGACCGGAGUGGACGCAUCACUGGUGUUCGGGUUGUCAUGCCAAUGGCACUGCCCGGUAGCUAAAUGCGGAAGAGAUAAGUGCUGAAAGCAUCUAAGCACGAAACUUGCCCCGAGAUGAGUUCUCCCUGAGACU